rnacentral:rRNA from 1 species
AGUGAACGCUGGCGGUAGGCCUAACACAUGCAAGUCGAACGGCAGCACAGUAAGAGCUUGCUCUUACGGGUGGCGAGUGGCGGACGGGUGAGGAAUAAAUCGGAAUCUACUUUUUCGUGGGGGAUAACGUAGGGAAACUUACGCUAAUACCGCAUACGACCUACGGGUGAAAGCAGGGGAUCUUCGGAACUUGCGCGAUUGAAUGAGCCGAUGUCGGAUUAGCUAGUUGGCGGGGUAAAGGCCCACCAAGGCGACGAUCCGUAGCUGGUCUGAGAGGAUGAUCAGCCACACUGGAACUGAGACACGGUCCAGACCCGUACGGUAGGCAGCAGUGGGGAAUAUUGGACAAUGGGCGCAAGCCUGAUCCAGCCAUACCGCGUGGGUGAAGAAGGCCUUCGGGUUGUAAAGCCCUUUUGUUGGGAAAGAAAAGCAGCAGGUUAAUACCCCGCUGUUCUGACGGUACCCAAAGAAUAAGCACCGGCUAACUUCGU